rnacentral:tRNA from 1 species
UCCCUGGUAGCUCAGUGGCAGAGCAGCUGGCUGUUAACCAGUGUGCCGUUGGUUCGAAUCCAACCCGGGGAG